GACGAACGCUGGCGGCGUGCUUAACACAUGCAAGUCGAACGGAAAGGCCCUGCUUUUGUGGGGUGCUCGAGUGGCGAACGGGUGAGUAACACUUUAGUUACCUGCCCUUUACUUUGGUAUAACUUCAGGAAACUUGUGCUAAUACCGGAUAGGAUCUCCUGCUGCUUGGUUGUGUUUGGAUUGUUUCGGCGGUUGGGGAUGGACUCGCGGCUUAUCAUCUUGUUGGUGGGGUAUUGGCUUACCAAGGCUUUGACGGGUAGCCGGCCUGAGAGGGUGACCGGACAAAGUGGGACUGAGAUACGGCCCAGACUACAACGGGAGGCAGCAGUGGGGAAUAGUGCACAAUGGGCGGAAGCCUGAUGCAGCAACGCCGCGUGCGGGAUGACGGCCUUCGGGCUGUAAACCGCUUUAGCCUGUGACGAAGCGUGAGUGACGGUAAUGGGUAAAGAAGCACCGGCUAACUACGUG
rnacentral:rRNA from 1 species